GUCUUAAUUGGGCGUUAAGUUGCAGGGUAUAGACCCGAAACCCGGUGAUCUAGCCAUGGGCAGGUUGAAGGUUGGGUAACACUAACUGGAGGACCGAACCGACUAAUGUUGAAAAAUUAGCGGAUGACCUGUGGCUGGGGGUGAAAGGCCAAUCAAACCGGGAGAUAGCUGGUUCUCCCCGAAAGCUAUUUAGGUAGCGCCUCGUGAAUUCAUCUCCGGGGGUAGAGCACUGUUUCGGCUAGGGGGCCAUCCCGGCUUACCAACCCGAUGCAAACUGCGAAUACCGGAGAAUGUUAUCACGGGAGACACACGGCGGGUGCUAACGUCCGUCGUGAAGAGGGAAACAACCCAGACCGCCAGCUAAGGUCCCAAAGUCAUGGUUAAGUGGGAAACGAUGUGGGAAGGCCCAGACAGCCAGGAUGUUGGCUUAGAAGCAGCCAUCAUUUAAAGAAAGCGUAAUAGCUCACUGGUCGAGUCGGCCUGCGCGGAAGAUGUAACGGGGCUAAACCACGCACCGAAGCUGCGGCAGCGACGCUUAUGCGUUGUUGGGUAGGGGAGCGUUCUGUAAGCCUGCGAAGGUGGCCUGUGAGGGUUGCUGGAGGUAUCAGAAGUGCGAAUGCUGACAUAAGUAACGAUAAAGCGGGUGAAAAGCCCGCUCGCCGGAAGACCAAGGGUUCCUGUCCAACGUUAAUCGGGGCAGGGUGAGUCGACCCCUAAGGCGAGGCCGAAAGGCGUAGUCGAUGGGAAACGGGUUAAUAUUCCCGUACUUGGUGUUACUGCGAAGGGGGGACGGAGAAGGCUAUGUUGGCCGGGCGACGGUUGUCCCGGUUUAAGCGUGUAGGUGUGUGUUCCAGGUAAAUCCGGUUCACUUUAACACUGAGGCGUGACGACGAGGCACUACGGUGCUGAAGCAACAAAUGCCCUGCUUCCAGGAAAAGCCUCUAAGCAUCAGGUAACAUCAAAUCGUACCCCAAACCGACACAGGUGGUCAGGUAGAGAAUACCAAGGCGCUUGAGAGAACUCGGGUGAAGGAACUAGGCAAAAUGGUGCCGUAACUUCGGGAGAAGGCACGCUGACACGUAGGUGAAGUGAUUUACUCAUGGAGCUGAAGUCAGUCGAAGAUACCAGCUGGCUGCAACUGUUUAUUAAAAACACAGCACUGUGCAAACACGAAAGUGGACGUAUACGGUGUGACGCCUGCCCGGUGCCGGAAGGUUAAUUGAUGGGGUCAGCGCAAGCGAAGCUCCUGAUCGAAGCCCCGGUAAACGGCGGCCGUAACUAUAACGGUCCUAAGGUAGCGAAAUUCCUUGUCGGGUAAGUUCCGACCUGCACGAAUGGCGUAAUGAUGGCCAGGCUGUCUCCACCCGAGACUCAGUGAAAUUGAACUCGCUGUGAAGAUGCAGUGUACCCGCGGCAAGACGGAAAGACCCCGUGAACCUUUACUAUAGCUUGACACUGAACAUUGAGCCUUGAUGUGUAGGAUAGGUGGGAGGCUUUGAAGUGUGGACGCCAGUCUGCAUGGAGCCGACCUUGAAAUACCACCCUUUAAUGUUUGAUGUUCUAACGUGGACCCGUUACCCGGGUUGCGGACAGUGUCUGGUGGGUAGUUUGACUGGGGCGGUCUCCUCCUAAAGAGUAACGGAGGAGCACGAAGGUUGGCUAAUCCUGGUCGGACAUCAGGAGGUUAGUGCAAUGGCAUAAGCCAGCUUGACUGCGAGCGUGACGGCGCGAGCAGGUGCGAAAGCAGGUCAUAGUGAUCCGGUGGUUCUGAAUGGAAGGGCCAUCGCUCAACGGAUAAAAGGUACUCCGGGGAUAACAGGCUGAUACCGCCCAAGAGUUCAUAUCGACGGCGGUGUUUGGCACCUCGAUGUCGGCUCAUCACAUCCUGGGGCUGAAGUAGGUCCCAAGGGUAUGGCUGUUCGCCAUUUAAAGUGGUACGCGAGCUGGGUUUAGAACGUCGUGAGACAGUUCGGUCCCUAUCUGCCGUGGGCGCUGGAGAACUGAGGGGGGCUGCUCCUAGUACGAGAGGACCGGAGUGGACGCAUCACUGGUGUUCGGGUUGUCAUGCCAAUGGCACUGCCCGGUAGCUAAAUGCGGAAGAGAUAAGUGCUGAAAGCAUCUAAGCACGAAACUUGCCCCGAG
rnacentral:rRNA from 1 species